GGGUUUGGCUGUUCGCCGAUUAAAGCGGAACGCGAGCUGGGUUCAGAACGUCGUGAAACAGUUCGGUCCCUAUCUGUCGUGGGCGCAGGAUAUUUGAUGGGAGCUGUCCCUAGUACGAGAGGACCGGGACGGACGAACCUCUGGCGCACCAGUUGUUCCGCCAGGAGCACAGCUGGGCAACUAUGUUCGGAUCGGAUAAACGCUGAAAGCAUCUAAGCGUGAAGCCGGCCCAAAGAUAAGAUAUCCCACUGAGAAAUCAGGUAAGAUCCCUUGAAGACUACAAGGUAGAUAGGCACAAUGUGUAAGUGGAGUGAUCCAUUCAGCAGGCGUGUACUAAUAGAUCGAGGGCUUGACCAG
rnacentral:rRNA from 1 species